rnacentral:rRNA from 1 species
AAUAGAUACCCGGGUAGUCCACCCCGUAAACGUUGGGAACUAGUUGUGGGGUCCUUUCCACGGAUUCCGUGACGCAGCUAACGCAUUAAGUUCCCCGCCUGGGGAGUACGGCCGCAAGGCUAAAACUCAAAGGAAUUGACGGGGACCCGCACAAGCGGCGGAGCAUGCGGAUUAAUUCGAUGCAACGCGAAGAACCUUACCAAGGCUUGACAUACACGAGAACACUCUGGAAACAGGGGACUCUUUGGACACUCGUGAACAGGUGGUGCAUGGUUGUCGUCAGCUCGUGUCGUGAGAUGUUGGGUUAAGUCCCGCAACGAGCGCAACCCUCGUUCUAUGUUGCCAGCACGUUAUGGUGGGAACUCAUGGGAUACUGCCGGGGUCAACUCGGAGGAAGGUGGGGAUGACGUCAAAUCAUCAUGCCCCUUAUGUCUUGGGCUUCACGCAUGCUACAAUGGCCGGUACAAAGGGCUGCAAUACCGUGAGGUGGAGCGAAUCCCAAAAAGCCGGUCCCAGUUCGGAUUGAGGUCUGCAACUCGACCUCA